rnacentral:rRNA from 1 species
GCCUAANGCGUCCGUAGCUCGUUUUGUAAGUUUUCGGUUAAAUCCAUACGCUUAACGUAUGGGCUGCCGGGAAUACUGCAUAACUAGGAAGUGGGAGAGGUAGACGGUACUCGGUAGGAAGGGGUGAAAUCCUUUGAUCUAUUGAUGACCACCUGUGGCGAAGGCGGUCUACCAGAACACGUUCGACGGUGAGGGAUGAAAGCUGGGGGAGCAAACCGGAUUAGAUACCCGGGUAGUCCCAGCUGUAAACUAUGCAAACUCAGUGAUGCAUUGGCUUGUGGUCAAUGCAGUGCUGCAGGGAAGCCGUUAAGUUUGCCGCCUGGGAAGUACGUACGCAAGUAUGAAACUUAAAGGAAUUGGCGGGGGAGCACCACAAGGGGUGAAGCCUGCGGUUCAAUUGGAGUCAACGCCAGAAAUCUUACCCGGAGAGACAGCAGAAUGAAGGUCAAGCUGAAGACUUUACCAAACAAGCUGAGAGGUGGUGCAUGGCCGUCGCCAGCUCGUGCCGUGAGAUGUCCUGUUAAGUCAGGUAACGAGCGAGAUCCCUGCCUCUAGUUGCCACCAUUACUCUCAGGAGUAGUGGGGCGAAUUAGCGGGACCGCCGCAGUUAAUGCGGAGGAAGGAAGGGGCCACGGCAGGUCCGCAUGCCCCGAA